ensembl:lncRNA
ACCCCAGAGGACCCAACGCCCCGUGAAUCGGCGCGGGCCCCAACAGGAAGGGGCCUCACCGGCCCCCCCGCCCCCACGUCUGAUUUGACAGGUGCAGACACUCCUGCAACAGAUGCAAGAUAAAUUUCAGACCAUGUCCGACCAGAUCAUUGGAAGAAUUGAUGACAUGAGCAGUCGCAUUGAUGACCUGGAAAAAAACAUUGCAGACCUCAUGACACAGGCUGGGGUGGAAGAGCUGGAAGGCGACAACAAGAUCCCCGCCACACAGAAAAGUUGAAGGUGAGGGGCGGGGCAGGAGAAGUGCGGUGUGUGUCUGUGUGAUGUGGAUGUAGUCACACUUCCUCUAGGUCUGUCCACAGCCUAGCGGUGAUCCAGCAAGCAUCACUGGAUAAGAGGCCUUUCAUGUCCCCACCCUCGAGGAUUCAACUAAUUCUUUAUGUAAAACUUAUUUUCCCUACUUUUGUCAAUUAGACCUAGAUCCCUAUUAGUUAAGACCAUUGGUUAAUAUUAGAUAACCACUGAGUUUAUAUCAUUACAGCCAGAAGAAAAGAGGUCUGUUUUGUUGGCCUUGGCAGAUUUUUGGUCCCUGGCAGAUUUUUCCAGUGGGUUUUUGGUUUGUUGGUUUUUUUUAAAGAUAACACCCACAUUGCCAUCUUCAUUGCUGCCGUAAGUUGUAAGGAUUCUCUUGGAAAUACCCCCCACACUAGACAAAUGCCAGGACAGUGGCUGAUUGUGACUUACAUGACCUGGAUCCUGGCCACACUAAGCCUUCAUCCUGGAGAUGAUGUAAAUUUCCAUUGUAUAGUCACACAUAUCAGCGUGGAGACUGGUCAUCAAAAAUGCCCUCUGUAGCAAAAUAGCUAGACACACAUGUGCCUGCCCUCUUUUCACCGGGGUUUCUUUCAUGAGAAGCCCUUUCCUGAGAGUGGUGGUUACCUCACUGCAACUCAGAAGUCCAAGAAAAUAAAUAGAGGUUUGAGAGGUAAAGACUUUCCAGUUUGUUGUUAACAGUAGCUUAGGUGGAUUCGCUAUGUAAGUAAAUCACAUAGUAGUUUUACGGGGCUUAUCAUCUUGGAUCCUCUACCCAGGAACCUUGGGCAGUGUCCUGCCCGUCUUAGGCGUUUCUCUGGCUCUCACUAUCAUUUGGCAUCAGAAACCCCACGGAGUGAAUGAGAACACUGUCGGGAGGGCCGAGGAAUGUCACGGGCGGGGAACAGUGGCAGAGAGUGGGAGGAGGAAGAAGAUCCACGCUCAUCUCUUUAACAAAGACUUCCCGUGUGUUUUUGCUAGGAUACUGCGUAAAGUAGGAGGAUUGAGAACGUGGCUGCUCAUUCUGUGUGUUAUUUUUCAUUUAUCCUUAGAGAAUGACUGGCACGUUGAUGACUUUCCCUUUUCCGACAGGUGGCUCAAUUGCACUGAAAUCCAGAACACCCUUUUUACAAGCCAAGAGACGACGGAUGGCUUUUUGCAACUAACUACUAUGUGUAGACAGGUUUUAUAUUAUAAAGUGUGCAUUCUUCUUGCCACAUACUAUAGAGUUAGGUUAUAGAGUGACCUCUCCCCCCCACCCCCCGUGUUUCCUGAACAUGGUAACUUCCUAUCUUGGACCUUGGUCAGUUGUGCUAUUAAACACUAAAACUUUGGCAGUUCCUGCGAACAAUUGUCCAAUUUUUUAGUGUAUUUUUGUGCAGUCGGUUUUUUCCUAUCUUUCCCUUCGUAGCAGUUGCUGUUGGAUGAAAGUCGUUGUGUAGUUCUUUUAAUUAGACGUGGAGUAGAUCCUCAGUUAUAAUUAGGUUUUGUGACGUGAAACAUUUAUAGUUAGGGUUCUUUAAUUCUCAGACCGUGACUGUUCAAUGAACACCAAAUAGUGUGCUGAUAGAGUUUCAGGUGGUUGAAAACAUGUCAAAUUGUGUGUUCAGAACUAUCUGACACUACUGUGCCACCCAACCUCGGAAUUGAACCGUGAUUUUAUGUCCGAGUCCCUGAGGUCAGAUGCUACAGUGACAAAGAGUGACCACUGCCACUUAGGUUAGAAUUCUUAAACAUGGAAAGUAGCAAAAUUGCCUGGUGUCCGGAGGCCUUUCGUAGUUAGAGUUUUGCAUGACGUUUGAGCACUUCAGUAGGCCGUGCUUUGUCCAUCGGCAGUAGUUCCCAUAGGAAAUCUGGCGGGAUUGGACGACUCUGCUGCUUCGUGUCUUGAGCUCCUGGCUGGGCAAAGAGACAGGCAAGAAGAGCAGACCGUGUCCAGUCCGGCCAGUGACUUGGCUAGGAGAUGAGAAGUGAUUUGUUAGAGGCUCGAGUUUUUAAGGAACUCUGUUUCUGAAAACUCUUUCUUACCUAAAUCCCAGCAGAGCAAUGGUUUUGUUAUGGGUGCCGGGAGACACUCACCCUUGCAGCUUAGCAGGAGGGUGAGCCUGGAGGCCAGCGCUGACAGGAGGAGGCCCGCGAGGCCGUCCCGGGGCCGUCCCGGCGGGGUGAUGUGAGCAAUGGCCACUGUGCUUUGGAGAGGGAAACCCUUCGUCAACAGGGUGUGUGUUUUCAGAGUUUUCCUGUGUCACCAGUCUCAAUUGUUUGUAUUGCACAUAUAUAAUAAUAUUAAGGAAUAAUUUGUCCUGUUUAUAAAUUUUACGGGGAACACAAAGGAGUGGAUUUCUCCUGGGAUGAAAUGGAUUCCCCACUGUCGUUAUGGCGCCACAGAAACUCCUUUGCCGGGCCAGUAGGUCAUGCUCCGAGGUGUAGCCCUGAGAGCCCGGAGCCGGCUGGAUUCUGAGGACUAAACGGAGCCGUGUGUGGGAUGCGCCCGGGACUGGGAUGUGGCAAGGGAACAGUCGGGCAGAGGGCGUCAGCUUCCUUAGGUCCUGGGCAGGUGUCAGAGCAAGCUCGGGAGACCAGAAACACCUGCUGUGAAUAAAGGUGCCUGAAUCCU